UGCGGCUGGCCUGCAGGCGCUUCUCUUAAAGCCGCCCUUGUUAUCGUCCAAGGUUGCUCGCCUUAGCGUCUAGAUUGUCUUGUGCUUCUUCCCACAGAAAUUGCUCCAGGCCGUGAUUUACAGAAUGCUGUGUGUCAGCAAUUGGAAACCUGUGUGGGAUUUACUUGUGUCUGGCCUUUUAUCCUGAAUUCCUUCUGCAUUCACAUUCAGCUUCCACUAUUGCCGUUUUCAUCACCUUAUCGUUCUCUUUCUGUAUUUUCCUCAACUUUCCCUGUCUUUCUUUAUUGCAAUUUCUUUCUUCCUUAUCUCUUUAUGCUUCCCAUGCAGUCUUCUGUAAAUUAUAAAUAAAAUGUAUGGAUUUCACAUCUGAGGGUGAGGCACGCCACAUCUACAUGUUAGACAUCUACGUGGACUAGGAGACCAGACCCAGCUCUCAGCAGGAGAAACAAGCUCAUGCUGAAGCCUACUUUCUCCUUACUGAUUGUGGGAAACAGAACUUCCACUGAUGGUUACAAAGCACUGAGAUAUGUUGUAAUCCCUCAGGAACCAUUCUUGGAGAGGACCAUUUCUAAUCAGGAAGAGGAAAUGCAACUGCCAGACAUAAGCGUUAUCCCUAACAGAAGAGUAAUCUUUCUGGCUGUUACGUUCCAGACCUUCUGCUUCGAGGUCAUCACCCAAAUGACCAUGCCUGAAAAUUAUCAUGUUUUCCCAGCAGCAUUGGGCCUCUUUCCCCUGAGCUCUAACUAACCCUCAUUUUGGGAGCUGAAAUGGGAUUUGGGUGGUACAUUCAAAAGUUCAGGUGUAUGGGUCCUGGUGCAACUCGGAGAGGCCAGGGGUCUGUGCAAGUGCAAAUCUUACUCUUCAGUAAUCCUGAAAAGGAAAGAAAGACUAUUUUCCUUGCAUCCUUGUUCUGUCCUCAAAUAAGAACACCAGAGGAGACCACAGAAAGCAUCAAGCCAUCCCAUGUCAUUUCUGCAACUGAAACAGAGGGGCAGCAUCAGGCAUUAUUUAGCAGCAAUGCUGGAAAGCACAUGUAAGAGGUGUGUGUAAUAGUCAGAUACUGAAUAGAUCCAGGGGCACUUUGAUAAAUUGAAAAAGGCAAGAAUUCCAUACUCAGAUAUUUUGUGGUAUUCAUGUGAACCCAGAAAACUCAUCUGUCUUUGCUAAAUAUUUGUAUGGCACAUGAUCUAGAAGGUUGGAAAGACAAAUUGAUGGCAUCAGUAUUAGCAGUCUUUUAAAAAAUGUUUCUGGGAAAGAAAAGGGAUUAAUGAACCAUCAUUUUGAAUACUCUUAAAUUUUGACUUUGUCUAGUACAGUUGUUCCAGAGCAAUUAUUUGCCCCCUGUUUUAAUUCAGCUGAGCUAAAGUAAACUCAUAUUUGAGACAGAAGAGAUGGGCAAUAUAAUUGUAUCUUUUUACAUCAGGCAUCACUCUCUAGCUAGUGUUUGGUCUCUUAUUAUCUUAAAAUUGGCAUUUUUUGUAGCAUUGUAGAAAGGAAAUGUUCAUAGUAUGAUUAUGAUAUUGAAGAUUAUAUAUGCUGAUAGCUUUGUGGAAGUUACACAUUUCAAUGUAUGGUAUAAAUGUUCUGGCAUUCAUGACUUCUCAGGUAAAAGUUUAUUCAUUACAAAGAGGAUGUGAAAGAGCAUGGUAGCAAUUUUUAAGCAUCUGUUGUGUGAAAAUUCUUACUGCAGAGAAAAUUACAGUUAUUCCCAAAAAAAGGCGUUCACAUGCAAGGUUAUUAAGAACAAGCUGGUGCUGUGUAAAUCCAUACAAAGACUUGCCAUUUAGUCAAUACUUGAACCAUCACUGUGCACACCAAACCUAUGCCAGUUGCUGCAUUAUCAGCAUCUUGAGCAAUUAAGUAAUCACUUUGUCACUGCUUGAGCUUAAAAAACUCUUCAUAAAGAUGAUUAUCAUUAUGUUGUAGAUAAACCACAUUUUUAUCCAUGUUAUGAAAAGGAAUAUUACAUAAGUAUAAAAUUGUACUAGAAUAAAUGCAUGUUGUUCCAGCA
rnacentral:lncRNA from 1 species